AACACAAGACUCUGUGGAAGUAGCUCAGAAGAGAAGAUUAGUGAUGGUCGUGAUCCUAAAAUCUGGGACUGUGAUAGUACUCUCUAUGAUUCCUACGAACUCGUCUCCUUUGUUCACAUCAUCGAACGUAAACUAAUGCCUUUCUCUCCUCUCGCUCGGCAGCCUGGUUUGACUCUACGAGCUUUGAUGGAUAAAGAUAGCGACCAUUGUUCCUGUGCGUCGACUAAGAGGGGACCUUGUAUUCACCGGAGGAAAUAUUGGUGGAAUGGAAAGAAGAAAGACGAAAUGAAGGAACGAAUCAAUAAGAAGAAGAUGUUUGAUUUUAGUUUUUGGUGGAAUUUUUGUUGUAAGAACUUGUUCUUCUAAUAUGUAAGCAAAUUUCUAUGCCGAGUUGUUUAUGUGAUGAAAGUUGUGUGUAGGAGCUUGUCUUACUUCAAAAUUAAUCGAAGAAAGUGAGUUCACUGUGCUCCCAUAUUUGCUAUAAUUUACAAAGUGAAUUUUGUGCCUAGUGGGCUUAUGGUUAGGCCCAUAUAGGCCCAUCUCUUAGGGUCCGACUUGAGUACGAAAACCUUAUUGAUCUCUUAACAACAAUAACAUAAAGGAAGCUACUACUGUAUUCUCUAGGGUUUCUAUUCUCUAUUUGCUUUACCUUUUGUAUUUUGUACUUUGUAUAAAGUAGAUAUAGGCAGGUAACCUUGGGUCGAACGACCGUCUUGUAAUUUUUGUUUGUAGCUUUGUUUCUUUCUCAAAUGAAUUGGAAUAAGUCUGAUUCCAUAUAUUUCCCUCGUUCAAUCUUUUGAAAAUUACUAAUGAACAAAUAUAGCAUAAAAAUUCAAAAUCAGAACAGUUCAAGUUAUAAAGAAUAAAUGAGAAAUAGACAACUAACCACUUUCUUCCACACCCUCAUCAAUUUAAUGUUUCUUUUCUUUUAUUGUUGUCCCAAAACCAGUUUGGCUUUUGACCUUAACCUUGACUUUUCUCCCUCUUUGAUUGAUGUUUUUUUUCAGCGUUAAUUUAUUCCAGUAAUUUCCCUUAGUUUUAAACAUUACAACACUAACUACUAAAUGUAAGUAAAAAAGUAAAGGUAAAUCUUUAAAUUUUAUUCCUUGGCUGAAAAAGAAAGAAAGUUACGAGUUACAAAAAUGGGCCCACUUUGUAGAUUGGCCCGCCCAAAAUAAAUCGAUUUGAAACUCAAUUUUGUAUAGUCAGUCUCUCUCUUCUUCAUGUUUGGUUUCAGAGAAUGAAAGGCUUAACAAGAGCUUCUUCAUUGACUCCAUCUUCUGCAUCUCUUUAGAGUUUAUAGAUCUAAUAACAGCAAUAAAUCUAGCUUCUUAAGUCUUCUUGGUUUUUCUUCUUUAAUUGAAUGCUGAGUAUCUUUCUUGUCAGCUCAGUGACUAUUUUCGUUUGUUUGUAAUGGCUGAGUCGUCAACGAUCGAAGCAAGGCUGGUUCGAUGUCCCAAGUGCAAGAAUCUCUUACAAGAGCCUAAAGAUUGCCCCUUUUUUCAGUGUGGUGGUUGUGGAACCGUUCUUUGCGGUUAGUUCCCAUUUUUCAUCCUUCUCUUUUGCUGUAAAGAGUUCAACCAAACAAAGGAUAGUUUCGAGAUUACUUCUUCUUUUGAUGUUUCAACCACUCAUCCAGUUUCAGAUUCUGUUUUUUUUUUUACCAUGACGUCGAUUAGGUAAUGGGUAAAAAAAUUCUGACCCAAAAGAGUUUUUGUUUGUUUGUUUUGUUAUUAUGUAUGUAAAGCCAAGAACAAGGACCGUGAAGCUGAUUUAUUGUCGGUUAAGUCCGUUGAAAAUAGAUCCAAAGAAAUUGAAGUUACCUCUGGCUCAAGUGAAGAAGAAUCUGAUUCAAAUGCUUCAUUAAGACACCAACAAGAUGGUCAAACUGAGACUUGGGAUGUUCACAAUGAUCCUAGUUCGAAAAUGAAUGUUGUUGAUUCGGGUAAUAACGAUUCUCAACCAGGUUUGGAUCAGAUUAGGAAAAGAACAACCAAGAGAUGCGAUUUAGAAGGUUUCAGAUUCUCCACUUCUAACUAUUUUACAGAUUCUCUGUCUACUGAUGAAGCAAUUGAGCAAGACAGAGCUGGACUGGUGAGAAAAUUGGAUAAGCUAAAAGAACAGCUUGUUCAACCUAAAGAACAGCAGAUCCCGAGUUCGUCUUCAGGAUUCCAAAAGGCUCCAUUGCGGGUUUUCAGCUCCGGGAGGCGUAUUGCAGGUCCUUCCUACUACCAGUAUUAUUCAGAACCCGAACCUCCAUGUCUUUAUAACAACAACAGUGAUGUUUCUCUACAUGGUCCGAUGCAUAACCCGGCUAAUGUUCCAGCAUAUGGUGACCCUCACGGGUUCCCAAUGCAUGAAAGAACUCUGCAGCCAUCUCAUCUGCACAACUCUAGACAGUAUAUUGGUAAUAAUGGUCAUGAUGUUUUUGAUACACACCCUCAUAAUGGGAUGUUUCAUCAAUCAACUUGCUCUUGUACCCAUUGCUAUGACCCAUAUCAUAGAGCUUCAGGCUCAGUGUUUCCUCCCUCAGGGUUGCCUGAUGCUCUGCGUAAUCCCGGUUUUUACCCUCAUGAGAGAAGUUUUGGGUUUGGUACUUCAUUGCAUAGCCCGAGAACCUUUAUUCCUCCUGGUUCUCAAUCUCCUGGACCACAGCUCCGAGGAAGAUGCACGAGUGGAUUUAAGGAUAUGCGAAUGAAUGCAGUUUCUCGUGUUCACCCCUCUAAACCUGUAUCAUCUUCAGGUGGUUCUCGCCUAAUUCAACCUGUGGCUGGUGGUGCACCAUUUAUAAACUGUAUAAACUGCUUCAAACUUCUGAAAUUGCCAGAGAAAAUAGAUUCUGCUACGAGAAAGAAACAGAGAAUGCGCUGCGGAGCAUGCUCUUGUGUAAUAGAUUAUUCCUUUGUUGAUAAGAAGCUCAUUCUCUCUACAGAUCCUGCUUCAGCAAGAAAACCAGAAACUCAUAGUAGGCUGCGUUGGGAAACUACUGCUAACUUCUCUUCUGAUGACUAUGAUAAUGCUGCUUACGAAUUCCAUGCAAUGGAUAGAGGAUCAGCCGAUGUAUCAACUGCUCUGGUUUUGAUCUCCAACACAGCUCAAGAAAUGCAGAUUACGGAUGCUACUUCUCCUAGCGUGUCUGAAGACGAGUUAAGUUCAGACAGUUCAACAGUUAGGAAAGUUAAUCUUGCUUCACCUCUUCACAAACAAUUUGAAUACUCUUCGAUCAAUGUAAGGGACCGGUCUGGGCCAAGGAGCCAAAGCUCUCGUUCAGAACAGGACAGGGUCACACUGAGCAAAACAGCCAUGAGACAGAACUCUAUGAAAGAAGCUUCAGUUGCAAUUGAGAUGGACGUUAAUGACUACUCUCACAACAAUGAAGUGUCACAAGAUUCUGCGAAUGACUGUACAGAUGAUCAGGGAAGAACCAAGAAGGGUGGAUUUGCGAGUAUCAUGAAGAAUAGCUUCAAGGAUCUGAAGAAAUCCAUACAGAACGAAGGCAGAAGUGAUGUCUCAAUAAAUGGUCAUCCUGUAGCUGAACGUCUGGUGAAAAUGGCAGAGAAGCAGGCUGGACCAAUCCGACCAGGAAACUACUGGUACCAGGAGAUCCUUCAAUCUCAUAAAUUUUCCUCACCUACUAGCCCUAAUGAUUCUCUUCUAUUCUGUUGCUUGUUACCAGGUACGACUACAGAGCUGGAUUCUGGGGAGUACUGGGAAGUCACUGCCUUGGAAUAUUACCGGUAAACAUCAGCUAACAAAUCAUAUUUGUCAAUCUCUUUUCGUUUUUUUCAGUAUGUGUACUAAAACUGGCGAAAGGUGACUCCUUCCUUUCUUACAGCCUUUCAUUGAAGAGCUCAAUUACCCAAUGCCAGAGAAUUGCGCUGGCGGAACCACAAGAGUCUUUGUGAACGGAAGAGAGCUUCACCAGAAAGACCUGCGCUUGCUCACUGCCAGAGGUCUUCCACGGGAUAGAGAUCGAUCCUACACUGUUUACAUCUCAGGUAGAGUCAUAGACGAAGAUACCGGUGAAGAGCUAGAUAGUCUUGGUAAACUCGCCCCAACGUAAGCUUUCACAUAGCCUAUAACACCUCUCUUUUUCGCCUUACCUUUCAAGUUCUCAUGUAUCUGAGUUUGGUCUGUGAUGCUACAUGGUUAGGGUCGAUAAGCUAAAGCGUGGGUUUGGGAUGAGAGUUCCGAGGAGAGCUACAUGAAGAAAUAUAAAGAGCCUCUCCAUUGUGUUGUUGUAUUCUCUGAACAUCCGUGUUAGAUUAUCCUAACAUUACUAGGCUAAACUUUUUUCUAACUUUACAGAGCCUUAUGAUCAAUGUAAAGAAUGAGAAAGUGGAAAAUGAAAUAUCAUUAUUAGUAACAAGAAUCUAAAAACACCACAAAGAUCUGUGUAUUCAAAAGCUUACAAAAGCAUUAUUGAGCUUAUACACUGCAAGAACUAAAUUGUAUCAAAUCACAUGAUCACCACAUUUUGUAGCAUCUCUCCAUUUGUCUUCUCACUUGUUUGUUGAGACAUUCUUCUUCUGCUCCCCUUUCGUUACCUGAUCAUCAGACACCAAAAGUCAGACUCCAAAUCUAAAUCUUUGGAUCAAAGUUACCAACAAAAAAAGAUGAAAUUGGUUUAUGUAUUCAAACAUAUAAUCUCCAGAAGAUCGAGAAAGAAGCUUAGUCGCCUGAUACGGAUCAAAUUCAUAACCUUUAUCAACACACAAAUAAAGGCAAUCCUGAUCCAUCAACGAAGACUAUGAAAGAACACAAAUUUUCAAUUAAAGGUUGUUCCUUUCGUGCCUCAAUGUUUCAAAAGGCCAAAUUACUAACUCAUCAAGAGUAUUUGUGAUCCGAAUAAGAUCAAAGGAGGAGCGCAACACAUGAAAAAUUGUGAAGAAGGAGAGAAAAAGCAGCCAAUGAAGAUAUAGAUCUAACGACCAAACAAGAGAAAGAGAAGGAGAAUACGUUUUGCAAGACGAAUCCGACGGCGACGGCAGCAAUUACCGCUCCGCCGAGGAUAACCGGUGGGCCGGACAGCAAACUCCACUUUCGGUAAAUCAUCUUUUCUCCUUCUUCUUCUUCUUCUUCGGAACUUUCGUUUUCGUCUUCUCCGACUAUCUGAAAGAUUCUUAUGAUGAUGAAAUCGACAGAGUCUCUUCUCGAAGCUGGGCUUGAUAGUUUUUAUCUGGGCUCAUGGCCCAUAAUGACGAUAUGUUCUUUUCUUAGACAAAAAGUUGUAAAUGAAAAAAUUAUAUUCUUUUGACUGGAAUUAAUUUUUACACUGCUUGAAAAUUUGAAAGAUGGAAGAGUUUUCCACUUUUUAAUCUGUUCAUCCUAAUAAUUGCAUCACUUUUACAAAGCGUUUUCAUAAGUCAAUCAUACUAAUGUGACAUUUGAAAUGUCUUUCUAUCAAUUUAAUCAUAAGAAUUAACAACUUUAACUCACAAAUAAACCUUAUAUAAAAUCCUUUCUUUAUUAAUUGUCAUAAAGUACAAUCCAACUUCAUAGGGAAAUCAUAAUUCAUAAACCCUGCUGAAAAACAAUGAAAAAGGCCAAAAUCAUGUAACUUUAGUCCUAUAAGCCAAUUUUUAUCCAUCGGCAAAAAUAAUUUUUACUAUACUAAUAAGUAAUAACUAAUAACCCUUAAAUUAAACUGACCAUCUAUAAUUACUGCCAUUAAGAGAGAGACAUUACAUUCACCAAAUCAAUUAUUCAAAGCUACGACCACAACCAAUCCUGUCCGAAAUCGAUAAUAUUGUCCAAAGACGAGAAAUACGAAUCUGCAGUUUCGGAAUUCUCAACAGCAGCAGGUGCAGAUAAAACCUCGCUGGUAAUUGCAGACCCUGAUGUUGCAGGAGAAAGAUCUUCCACGAAAUUUCCCAAGAAAAGGUUACUUUUCCACACACCGUUCUCAAUCUCAUGGUUAGAGAAAGAAAACGUUCUGAAAAUGUUCUUCUUGUUCUCCAGAUCUUCAAGGCUUAUCAUCACUUCUUCGGACUUGGUCGGUUUCAUGUCUUCCGAUUGCUCUGUAACAUGUACUCUGUUUCCUUCAAAGAUGUUCGUGUUCGUCAAUGAAACAGAGAAGUUCGUCGUCGUCUUCGGGGAUGUGAUGUUGUUACAAGUGUGGUUUCCGAGAUACUUCACUUCGAAAAGGGAAGGAUCUGUGUCUGAUUUCUGAACUUGCUUCACUGCUAAACAGUCUUGUGUGAAUCGAUGCGUGCAUCUGUAAUAUGCUCUGUAAACAAAAACAGAGACAUAGGAUUUAGCAAAUAUAGCAAAAGAAAAAUUAAAACUUUGAAAUUCCCAGAUGAUGAAUGAAUGAUAAUCACCUAGGAUUUUUGGAUCCAUGAAUCUCUUUUUGCCCAUAUUUUCUCCAGCAGUGACCAUCAUCAAUAGAGCCAUUUUCUUGUUCUGUUGCAACAAAAACCUUAACUUUCUCUGUGUUCUUCUCCGAUACUUUCCUGAAAAUCACCAAAAAAAAAAACAGAGGAAUCAGACACAUGAGCACAGUUUGGAACUGAAAGAGAGACAAAAAACCAAUCUUUUAGCUCAAUUUACCUCUUUUUGAAGACGUUUUUAGAAUCUUUUCCAUCGAUCUCAAGGCUUCGCUUAAGGAUGUUCUUGUCUUGGUUGAAGCUCAACAUGAAAAUGGCAUUCUGGUAAAUACGGAGGAUAUCAGAGAUCAAGGUUUUGUUGGAAUCGACAGAAGAAGUGUGUUUGAGAUUGUUCAUCAAUCGGUUAGCAAGCUCUUUCCCUAGUUCCAAUUCGUUGAUCACAAGUUUCUCUUCCAUCAUCAUCUUUGCAUUCACUUCAGAAAAUUAAGAAUCUUUUCUUAGAUUUUCUUUUGAGUGAGAUUGGUGGGAGAUGUGAGUUUCGUCUGUGAGUAUCUAGAUGUAUUUAUAGACAUGAAUGAUGGAGAUUCUAUGAUGGUACUCGUCCUUGUGCUUAGACAAUAAGUAUUAAUUUUUAUUUUUGUAUUUAUUAUUGGUUUCAAUCUUCGACCAGAAGUUGUGUGGAAAAGAGAAGGAUCUUGGAGAGAAAUUGACAUAAAGGAGACUAUUAGUGUUUCACUCUUUUUUUAUAUUGCUAGAAUAUAUAAAAUAGUAUAAAACUGCUAAAUUUGUCUUAAAAUAUUACAAAUAAAAUUGGAAUGUUUUAGUCUAGGGGUUACUCGUUUCUGAUAAAAAAAAAAUGUAGUUGCUAAUUCCAUACCUAUUAAGCAACUAUAAUUCUUAUCUUAUUAUUUUCGGUCUAUAAUUUUUAUAUAUUAGACAGACUAAUGAUCAUAUCAAGUUAUCUAUAAAUCGUCAACUAACUCCCCAAUCUUAAUAGAACCCAUAUAUGGUGAGUCUCACUAAGUCGGUUAAGCUAAUCCUAUUUUAUCUACAAAAACUAACAAAUAAUAAUUAAAGUUAUAGUUAUUCAGACGAGUGAACCAAUAAACAAUAUUCUUCAAAGACGUCCUGCCGCGUUAGAUUCGGUUGAAAUUGAAUGUCUUUCUUUUGUUUCGCUGACGUGAAGACUCGUGAUGUCAUAAAUUGCCCAAUUAUUGCGUUAUUUCGAAUUUUAAAUUGUAGUUUUAAGGUAGCUAAAUUAUGGGUUUUAUUUACAACAAAAGAGUUAUUUAUUUUAAAUUACCAAUAUAUAGUCAUUUAUUGCAUGUAUUUGCAUAUAUAUACUCUAUACUCGAUUUACAUAUAUUUUAUCAACCAUUUUUUUAUAUAGGAUGUUGAUUAUGUAGUUAGUUAUAUUUUUAGGGGGUCAAAGAUCGAAAUUAAUCAAAUUUUAGUGGCCCUAACAAGCAAAUCAAGAAUCUAUGGAUCAAAUCAAAAAAGUAUCAAACCAUGCAGGUGUAGUUUUGAGAAAAUAUACCAAUGUGUCUUUUUCAUUCACACAAUUGACAGUGACGUAUUAUCAUUAAUUAUUAAUAUGAUUUAAAUUCGUAAUCACUAUGAUCCAUCAUCCAUAUAUGUUGUAGUAUUCUAUUCACCAAUGUAUAUAGGUUUUUAAUAGAAUCGAACAGAACUACAGAAGGAUACAGAAAAAAACACAGUUAGUACUUUACCAAAAAUUAAAAAAAAAAACAAAAACACAGUUAAUAUAUAAUACGGAAUAAAUGCAUUUAAUAAAAUUUAAAACAGUGAUUUUAUAAAGUAAUACUAUAUUAAGUCAUAAUUAGUAAACAAAAAAAAGAAUUUAAAGGAAUACAAACUGUUUUAUUAUUUAUUAAUAAUGAUAUACUCCGUAUCAUAACGAUUUACCUUAAAAAUCGUAAAAUGAAAUUUUUAAUCAUGGCGCUUACAUCCAUGAUUAAUGGCAGAGCAUCGUGGCCAUUAUGUAUUCAAAUUUUGUUCGUCGAACAAACAAAUUUUGUGUGAAUUUAGAUGAAAUCUAACCUUAUGCAUUUGCCAUAUUCAUCGUACUGAAUUCUUCAGUUUAAAAAUUGUGAAUAUCGUAGAUAAUAUAUUGAUAUAUCCACGUUACUGUAGUACUAUAUCCUAUGUUUCUCAGUUAUCAACUUUGUAGCUUUCUGACUCCAAAUUAAUAUAUUUUAGAGGCUGCUGUGCUGAGUCGAACUUAAUUAAUUCCUUAAUACUAGUAGAAAAAUAAUAUAAAUUCUUUUGAAGAUAAAUAUUUAUUCUACGACGCGUCGCUUGUUUAACGCGUCUGGUCAAGGGAAUAAUUUAUGACUAAAACUAAAUUCAGUAAAAUGCCCGAGUGGCGUAUAUACAUGCACAUGCCUUUUGUGAUAAAAAUAAUAGCUUUAAUCACACUUAGUAAAUAAUUAUUCAAGCAUGUAUGGACUAUCUAUGAUUAAUUAGUGCCAUAAGGGUUUAUUAUCUUAAUUUGGGCUGCUCUUAGCUUGCUUUGAAUUGAUAACAACUAACGAUUAUAAAUUGAACAAUAUGUUUUCAACUUCUUCUCAAAUCAAAUGAUGUCUUAUCAUCUGCUUUUGUUUAUGUAAAGAACAUUCCCUUGUUAAUGCAUGCAUUAGUCCACCGUUACCAGAAUGGUCUUUAACUUAUUUACAUCGGCUAGAUAUCAACAUCGAAAUGAUAAGAUCAUAGCUUGACGAAAAACUCAAGAAAGACGAUUAACACUUAACAGAAUGCUGUCAAAUGAGAGCAGUUGUUAUUACCUUCAUGUCCAACCAUAAUUUAAUAAGAUUAUCUUGUAUUAACAGGAUUGUGGUGUAAAUGCUUUAGAGCAAAAUACAAAAAAAAAACAUCAAAAUUAUAACUCCGUACAUGUUAUGGUAUCGUAAGGAAAGAAAACUUUCAAACACAAUAUCUUCUUAUCGAUGGGAUGGAUAAACGUUAUUGAAACUUUUGGAAUAUUUACCAAAAUAAACCUACACCGAUGAAAUAUUCUUUGAACAAAAAUAAAAAUCUACAUUUAGUUUUGGAAACUGUCUGGUAAUUUCCACGAAAGGUCUUUGGACUUUGGGUGCGUGUUGAAAAAGAUAUAACUCUCCUUAUACAGAGACCCACAUGUCACUUCAUAUGCUGAUUAAAUUUAAUUUGUACAAUAAAAUUACUUUUGAGACUAAUAAAAACUCUUACGCCUUAAUAGAAUUUAAUUAAGGGUAUUUAGUAAGUUACAUCUACAUGUGAAUUUGUUGAAAUUACUGGUCUUGAUUGAUAUUCUCUGUUUCAAUUUAAGCGUCAUUUCAGAAUUUGAAAUAUGUUUAUAAAAAGUGUCAUUUUAAGCUGUUUAACUGUCAUUUAUGUUUCAAUGCAUGUAUUUGAUAAAAUUUCUAUUUUUUGUUUUUACUGUUUUAGUAUGUUGGCCAAUGAAAAUUUUAUAGAAUAAAUUCAUAAAAUAAAAAUAAAAAUAGAAUUAUUUUCUUAGGUUAUGUGAUGAAAAACACUUUAAAUAAUACUCAAUUUGACAAGAUAGUAGUGUCUGGGACCAUACAGGACAGAUAGAAAACAAUCAUUUUUUUGUUAAAUAGAUUUUUAAGAUAAGCUAAGUACCAAAAAACACAUUGAAACCAAACAGCAUAUGAGUUUGAAUUUGUUUGGUACUGGAAGAGUUUAUAUAGAAAUUAAGCUCAUAUUUCAGCCAAAUGCAAUUGAAAAAAAUCAAAGUGUUAGUCACGCCAAGUGUGAACGCAGAAAGUCCUGUUAGAUGAUAAGCACGUGUGAAAACAUCUUAACACUUUCAUUGUAUUUGUCUUUUAGAUUAAAGUUGUCGGAUUUCUCAGCGUUGCUAUGCGCAAGAAAAAAAAAUCUUGGCCACAAACUUAGUUAAUACUGUAGCAUAUGGAUAUAUGUAGUUUGCAAUUGCAUGUGUAACGGGGGAGAUAAAAUGAUAAUAAACAAUGAGAGAUCAGGGAAUUUUUGGAACUAAUCGUAAAUUUUACCACGUCAUUAAUCGUAUAGUUUUGAAUCUUUAUAUUCAAUCCAAAGAAUUAAAAAGGAUGGGCACAAAGGGUAGAUAUAUAUGCUUCCUUGAUUGAAUAAAAGGAAACUUUGCAUUUUAUAUAUUCGAUGACGCUACUGAAUCUUUAUUUUCUUUAGUGAAUACAAGAGAAUGAAACAAUGUUACAACAGAGGAACAACAAUUAAUAUCAUAUGGGAUGAUCCCUAAUUCCGCUUCAUUACCAACAAAUUUUUUUAGCAUUGGGAUGGAUAAUUCGUAAUGAUCGUGGUAUUUUUUUUGGCAGGUAACAGAAGCUAUUCAAAAAUAAGCAAGCAAAACAAAAAAUAAUAACAGUUGCAUACACUUGCAUUAGGCCACACAUACAGUGAAACGGUAUGAUUGUUUUAAACCAAAUAUCUAAACGGCAUGCAUGUGUCUCUACUGUUGUAAAAUCGUUGACCGUGGAAACAUUUUAUCUUAAAAGUCUCAACUUAAUAAUGGGCUUUCUUUAUGGCCCAUAUAAAUGAGCUACCUCGUUGACCCAUAUCGUAGGCCACUUACAGAUUCUCAUUUCCGAUCACGAAAAAAUAAACCAUCUUGGGUUCAGUUUAAGCAUUCCCCUAUGCAGAAGAAAUAAGAGAGACCUUUCACCUUUGUUUGUUUGUAUGAAAGAACAACAGUAAUUUUUUUUUGGAUAAAAUAGCGAACAUAGUUAAAUUUAAAAUUUACAGUCGAUCUUAGGAAAACAGACUUUAGAAAAGUGUGAUUUAUCUCAUUAAAUCACAGCUACUAAUACUAUACUUCUAUAGAGGGAUAUAUCAUGUGUCGAUGGAGGCUGGUAAAAAUUUGAAAUUCCUAAGCAAUUUUUUCUUCUUAUAUAUAUAGAUAAUUAUACAUUCCAAAAUAGUAAUUCAAGGACAGGUACAUUUCCUUUUUUUCUUGUCUUGUGAAUUAAGGAGAGGAAAAUUUUCUUUUAAUCCAAACAAAAAAAAUCAUUUCCUAAAAAAGUCUCUUCGUCUGUUGGCAAAAACGACGCCGUGUUUCAUAAGCCAAUAUCUCUCUAUCUCCUCCGGCGUCCGUCCCGGGAUCCUUCCGGCGAUCAACUCCCACCUACGCGCCACGUAGGAUAGGCUAACAGUCAGUGUUGAGGAACUUACACUUAACCAAAUACCUUUUAUUCCGAUAAAAACCGCAUAAAGUUUGUAAUUCGGUUAAAAUUCUAUGGAACCGAACCAAAAUCGUAAUUUACACUUUGACUUCAUACAAACAUGCUGUAAUCAAAAUUGAACCAAACUAGCCAAAGUGAGUUCUGACAUAAAUUAAGAAUAUGUUUUGCUAAAGAAUCAUAUAUAAAAAAAGAAACUGAAAACGAAAUCUUGAUUAGGUUUUGCUAUUUGAACAACUAAAACAAAAAACAGAGAAUAAUAACAAGAUCAAAAAUCAGGCUGAACACAGUCAUUGACAGCUCGGUAAGUUAGACCCAAUAAUAUAAUAGAAAAACCAAGAAAAUGCAUAAAUAAACGACCGACUUUGAGAUCAAAAUCUAAGCAGAUUCGACAAAACAUGAAAGACCAAAAAAAAGAGAAAGCAACAAGAUGGAUCGAGAGAGAAAGAGUCUCUAACCUGUCGCCAACGAGUUUAUACAUCCGAGAAAUGAGAUCUUCUUCUUCUUCUGACAUCUUCACAGCUUCCCAUUCGAUACUACUCACCUCUGCGAAACAAACAUACAAAAUCAGACUCAAACCGAUCAAAAAGAUAUAGAGAGAAACAAAGAGAAAUCAGACCUUCGGAACAAGAAGCCUUGGCUUUGCUCUGUCUCCGUCGUCGUUUAUCCAUUUUUUCCGCCUUGUCUGAACGAAACAUCGAACUAAUCUGAAGACACGAAACACACAGAGAAAGAGAGAGAGAAAGAGAAUAAAUCUCGAGAAACAAGAAGAAAUGAUUUCCUCACGAGGGGAAGGAUUAAUAGUAGCUUUUUUUUUGUUGGGUUCUCGGAAAAGAAAAGAGUGAGAGAGAGAGGGGCUCGAAAAGGAAAAGAAAAUCAAACUGAUUAUUAUAUAACUGCGCAUGUCUGAUUAAUCCUAGAAUAAUUAUUUAUUUAAUACUUAUCAUCAUCCUCCAUUAUUUAAAUAUUGACUGAUUAAGAAAUAAUAUAAUUCGAUUGAGCUAAAGAAAACGAAUCUGUAAACUGUAGUGUUUCACUGUGUGUGUGUGUGUGUUGCUUCCAACGGCCUUUAGUUCAUAGAGAAAGAAGAACGACAGAUACAACCAUAACUACUUAUUUUAAAUCCUUUGACUUGCGGUUGUAAAAAUUCCUCGUUUACAGACAGUUGGAGAAAUAGUAGCUUCUCCUCUGGCUUUGACUUUCGAAAUGACCAGUAUGUCCCUUAUAUGUGUUCUUGUUUCUAGUUUAUUUGCUAUUCUACAUUAAAUAUACAUUCUGUCAAAGCUACUUAUUUAAAAAUAUAACUAUUCAACAAUAACAAAAAAAUUCAUUUGUUGCAAGAGAAAACAAAUAAGGACUGUGAUAUAAAGUUCAGGAAUUCGAUUUGAAAGUUUGAUAUAAGAGGAAAGUUUGGUAGAAGAGAACAGCAAAACGGGAAAAUAAUAUUAUAAUCAGAAGAGGGUAAAAAAAGAAAUAGUUAGUUCGAGAACAUAUCUCUCUCUAUGUAUCUUUCAUAUAUUCCUUUGGUCUGAUGGUAAUGUCGUCAAAAGUGGGCACAACACCCGUAUGGUUGUGUGCCUCUACUGGUCCGAUGUGGUCCGAAAACGUACUUGUUUUUCUUCAUUAAUUAUAUAUUUUUGAUUACAAAUAUGCUUUAACCACAUCUCGAGACCGGUUUCAUUACAUAUUUCAAGGUUUCAUCUAUUCAUUUUUAUAUCACAAAUGGAAUUUUUGACUAAAUGGAGUGAGACGAAAGAGCAAAGAAGCACAUUUGUUGUAUACAAAGCUUUGACUCGCAAAAAAAAAGGCAUGAAUCAGACAAGUAUCUAACAACAAUUAUUUAUGACAUGUGGUGGUUAAAGCUAUUUAAUAACCCAAAAAGACUUCGAAGAAUAUAUGAGAUUAGCCCCCCUUUUUUCAUUUUCUUAAAAAGAUUUGUAUAAGAUCUGCAGUGCGAAGGUGAGAUACGUCUAUAUAUUCUAUAAGAUGAAUAGCUGCUCUAGCUACUUUUUUUGUGUGGUACAUGUUAUGAUAAAUUGAAAACGUUUAAUCUAUGCAUUUUUAAGUACAUGAUCUAACAGUUUAUAGAGAUAAGUUGCAUGUUUUCGUACAUUAUAUGCUAAUGAAAACAGUUAUGUUGAAUGUUAGUUGCUGCAUGUUGUUGUAUGGGUUUUUUCAUGACGAAGUGGUUAAAGCGUUAUAUGUUGCCCUAAUAAGCCAUGGGCCUAUUCAAAAACAAUAUGGGCUUAUUGAUUAUUUUAAAUUGCUAUCGGCCAGCUUGAGCAGUUACUUGAAAAGGCCCAUGAAUGUUUACGGAGAGUACAACACGUUGACACGCACAACAACAGAAAAAGAAAACACAAAAGCUUAUCAAUCAAUCAAAUCUUUAAUUAUAUUAUUUGGUCGGUUUAAGAAGUGUUUACGUGGUUAUCAACAUUAACUUUUGAAUUGAAUUAUACGAAACGGCAAAAAGAUUAUCAAAAGUGUUGACUUGUGAGCUACCGUUUUUGCCCCUUAAAAGUCUCAAAUUCCAAGGCGAUAAAUGGUCAAGCACCCUCCACGCUCCUCCUGUCUUUUAUUGCCACGUGUCUACCACCGUUCCCGUCUGAAUUUGUCAGCAUCUGUAUGCCACGCGGCGGCCAGUUUCCCCGACGUUAAUUUCUCCGGUAAUUAUCACACGUGUCGUGUAGUCAAUGGAUAUUAACUUCGAGCUUAUUUUAUGGAGUUUUUAAUUGUUUUCAAUUAGCGUUUUUUUCUCAUUGGUGGGUCCACAGAUUAAUGGAACUAACGAAAUAUAAUUGGUGAAUGAAAAUGUCUGUUUCAUUGAAUUCAUGCGUUUCUAUUAAAGAAGUCACAGUUUUUAAAAUGGGUUCACGUGGUCGAGUACUUAGCUCGUGAGCCGGCUUCAGUGUCCAUAGUGUAUUACUCAGCUUUGUAACAACAUUAUUAGAGAGAAUAAUUCACUUUCAUUGUAUAAAUGACAAAAACAAUUAAUACCAACUUGUUUUGAUAAUUACAAAGUAACAAAAUAGAAGCAUUCAGAGUUUUGAAGUUAUAUAUUCAUUUGAAAUGUCUUGAAAAAAGUUAUAUGUCUUUCUUUGACAAAACAAAAUUCAGUAAAUUUCAAUCAAUUAUAUAUUUUUAAAAGUACUAUACGCACACAAUUCUUUAUACAACGACAAAAAGAAAUUUUACAUCUAAAAAUUUCGUAUAUAGAUAAAUUAACACGUUUGUAAAAUAUUGAAUAAAUAUUAUUUUGUCACUAUAUACACAGUAAUCACAUGUAAUAAAUUAAAAUCAAUCGAUAUGUUUCGUUAGAUCUCUCAAUAGAUAAUUAUUGAUAUAAACUAGUACGAAAAUAACAUAACAUACACAGUUACACAUACAUAAACAUAUAAUAUUUGUACCAAAAUUAUUAAGAAAAAGAAAUUUAAAGCUCUCAAUCAAGAGAUUUUGUAUGAUAUGAAAUAUUCUUCUGAUUUUUGAACCAUUUUGCAUUAGAGAAAAGUAAAUAAAACUAAAGUGGUCCUGGAAACAUAAAAAAAUAAAAUAAAAAUAGAGAAAGAAAGAGAUGCUAUUCCUGGAGACUGAGAGUACAGUGGAGGUCCAUGACAUCUCGUAACACCCAACAACACUCAACAACUUGCCAAAUUAGCUUUCACUAGCUGUUGUUAUACAUUCAUUUCUUAAUUUAAAUUGGAAUAUCAUAAAUAACACCUUAUAACAUUAUAACCAAAGCAUAAACUACAUGCAUAUAUUCUUAGAAGACAUUAACUUUUUAAUUAAUUUCCGAUUAUAGUGUGAUUACGCUCCUUGCAAAUACUCUACAAGCUAUGAAAGUAAAAAGGUAUUGGCUACUUUCACCGCCGCUACUAUAUCUCGUGAGUCGUGAGUGAAGCCAAGCCAGGCUAUUAUUAAGUUGUGUACUACUCAUUCCGUAAAAACCAAACUGAAACAGAACUAUUCCUUUUAUAGUUAAACACCGAAUUUAAUUCUAAACUCAAUCGUAUUAAAUGAGAAACGUACCAUUACUUUAAAACUCAAACUGAAACUAAACUAAAAAUCCGGUAAAAGUUCUUUUACUCAUAUCAUUGGAAAUAGUUUUUGAAGCAAAGUAAAAAACACUAGAAUAGUGUAACUAGAAGGAACUACUAAUAUAAAUUUUGGUUGCUGGUGAGAUUCUUUUUCCUCCUUCCCCAGCGGACGUCUCCGUCUCUUCUUCUGCUUCUAACUUGCUCCAAAUUUUCAUUUCAAUUUUUUUGAUAGGACUUAAAAAUUCCAAGCUCGCUUAUGAGAGUAAUGGCGUAGCAAAAUCUUUAUCUAACUCUUGGCUCUUGUCUUUUUUUGUUUGUUUCUCAACCUACGCCGGAUCUUGCUUCUUCGAACUUCUCCGACGCAUCUUCUUCAGAUUCCGCAGAAGUUUGCGUCGUUUUCUUGAAUCCACUCAAAAUUUUAUUGGAAGUUUGUGUUGUUUUUACUAGCUCUGAAUCUUUAGAGGGCUCAAAAAUUCGUCGAGAAAACCAGUCUUUGGAAGUGUAGCAUUUUGGAUUCGCUUGUGACUUGAAUCUUGAAUAUUAGGUGAAACCGCCUUGGAUCUUCUCGUUGAUCUUUGUCGUGGACAUUUUUUUUUGUAAAGCUUAGUAGAUUCUCUAAUAUUUAAUUAGAGAGUAUCUGUUCGUGUUAUUCUUUAUUGUUAGAUAAUGAUUAAUCACUGCACACAAUCUUAUUGAAUUUUCCUGUUGCUUUUCUCGGCUUGAAUUCUGAAGAAGUAGUUAGAGAGAUGGCUUUGCUAUAUACUCUUGCUAGAUCUGUUUGAUUUCUUAGAUUCCUGAUUUAACGAUUUCCUUCUAAUUUGAUUAUCCAAAAUCUAGAAAUGGUAAAAGUUUCUUGAGUUAAGGUUCAUUUAUUUUACAUUUGACUGUAGUUUUUUUGUGUGAUUUAGAUGCAGACAGGACCAUGUUGUGUUUUGGAUUACUUGAGAGAUUUACUAUCUCAAUAGUUCAUUUCAUCGUACAUAAUUUUUUUUUGUGAACUUGUUUAAUAGGAAUGAUGAUGAACUAUUCUUGUUUUGUGUGUAUAGUUUGAAGAUGGUAACUUUAUGAAUUAAUUAUUUAUUACUUAUUAGAUUCUGCAGUUGCGUCUUCUUGAUUCCUAAUAAACAAUGUUAAAGAACACACUUUUCAUGCUUCCUAUCAUUAGAAGUGUCAAAGAUGCUGCUCUUUUUUAAUCAUUUUUCUUCUUACCUGCUGUAUUAACAAUUUACGUAUAUCCAGGUUUCUAUUUGGUCAACAACAUCAGAAACAUGUGUGCUCAGAUGUUGAGCUCUUUAGAUUCAAUUGUUGUGAACAUUGUCAAGGAGAAUAGUGAUUAUUGAAGGAUGCAAGAUUUUUAUAUUCAGCUCUAAUGAAGAACGGACAGGUUUGUCCCUAACACAUCCUCACCAACUUUUUCCUUAUUGUUAUAAUCUUGCUUUCGUAUACUUAGAUAAGAAGUUGAGCCAUGAUAGAAACUUCAUUAUUAAGAAUACGUGAUCCUUUAGUUAUUGGUAUGCUUGAUUGGAAAGAAAGUUGUAGCUACUUUAGCAUUGAUAUACUUAGAUUUACCAAGAAGUGAAGAAGUAAAAGAGAGUUUGUAUAACAGGAGUUGCAGUCUUCUACCCAAGUUUCACAUGAGUCCCAAGGUGAACAGAAAGUUAAUUUAUCAGUAGAAGCUCCAAUACAAGAUUCUGGUUCUGUAUCUGCCUCAAGUAAUGACGGUAGGAAAGUGUCAAGACAAGAUAUUGAACUUGUAAGAACACUUUGCCACCUUCCUAUCUUUAUAGACUUUCUUGUAAGUUUCCAAUCAUCUGAUAAAAAAACAUAUUCUAAAUGACUGAUGCAGGUCCAAAAUUUGAUAGAAAGAUGUCUCCAGUUGUACAUGAGCAGAGAUGAGGUCGUAAAGACACUCUUGACCCGUGCAAGGAUUGACCCUGGUUUUACAACAUUAGGUACAAUCACUUUUGUUUAUUUCCAUAUCAAAGUAACAUUGUGUUAGUAACUUACCCUUUAUGAUAACGUUCUUUUGAAUUUUAGUAUGGCAAAAACUGGAAGAAGAAAACGCAGAGUUUUUCAGGGCAUAUUACAUCAGACUGAAACUGAAGAAGCAAAUAGUUGUAUUCAAUCAUUUGCUUGAGCAUCAGUAUCACCUCACGAAGUAUAAUGUACAUUCAAAAGUUCCUCUGGUCCCAAUGCAGAACGGUAUUCAUCCUAUGGCAUCUGGUAAGUCUGACUCCUUAUAUCACUUGUUGGUGUAGAUGGUUCAAUGAUUUGUUUGUGGUUUCACUAUUAUUAUAACACUAAAUGUUUGCAGCGCAGUGAACAACAUGCCCAUGGGAUACCCAGUACUACAACAUCCUCAGAUGCAUGCUCAAGGUCAUCCCCAUCUUGAUCCUAUGAGCUGUGGAAUGUCAAGCUGCCAUGUGGUUAAUGGAGUCCCUGCACCUGCUAAUUUCCAACCAAUGAGGAUCAACUCAGGGAAUGAGUAAGAACUAACUUGGAUUGAGUUUUGUUUUUGCAUUUUUGGUGCUUUAGACUUAAGAACUAAUUCCUACUGUUGUUUCCGGUGCUUGGUGUAGUAUGGUAAUAGAUACAACCAUGGCUGAACCAACUCCAAUGAUUCCACCAAAUAGUGGUAUGUCGGAUAUGCCAGUAAGUCCAGCUUCUGUGGCGUCAAGCGGACACUUUCCAUUUGCUGCUUCAGACAUGUCAGGGAUGGGAAUGGACACGUCAGCUCUUGACUCUGCUUUCACAUCUGAUGUCGGAACUUCAGUAGGGUUACAACUUGGAUCAGAUGGAGGAGCUGGAAAUUCUAGAGACCCUCUCAGGCCAUUUGAUCAGAUACCUUGGAACUUUAGUCUCUCUGACCUCACUGCAGAUUUGUCAAAUCUUGGAGGUAAGCUCUUUUUAUCAAAUGCCAUUGCGAGUUUAGCUCGAAAAACUUUAUAACAUACGUUGGUAGAUGCUCCAUGUACAGGUGUACUCCAUAGAAUGUUGCAUAUCAAUGAUCUUUUACUUUGCAGAUUUAGGGGCUUUAGGAAACUAUCCCGGUUCUCCUUUUCUGCCAUCUGAUUCAGAGAUUUUACUUGACUCUCCCGAACAAGAGGACAUAGGUAAACAUUAGCUCUCACUCUCCAUCUAAAAGGUGCAAUCUUAUAAGAAUGGUUUGAACAUGGAUGUUAUAGAUUUAAAAGUUUCAUGUCCUAUGAUCACUAACCAAUAUCUUCGUUUCUGUAUCCCGUAGAUGAAUUCUUUGUGGAUUCGAUUCCAGGACCUCCAUGUUCUCAGUCAGAAGAAGACAAGUCUUAAUCAAGCUUAUGAUAUUUGAUCAAUAGAAACAGUCUUAUUAUCUAGCAAGCAAGCAUUGUUUGUGCCGUUUCUCUAUAUUAGAGAAAACCUCCCAAAAGGAUUUAAAAUCUUCUUCUUUUUUCCUCUUCUAAGGGUAAUGAUCGAUCAUAGAUUCAUAGACUUAGAUUAAUUGCUCAGUUGUUUGUUUAUUGUACACCUUUAUUUUGGGACUUUGCUAAGCAUUGUAUAAUAUCUCCCAAUAAUCUAUUUUCUUGUUGGAUAGUUCAUCAAUAUGCAUGGGAAUAUCUCAUUUUUUUCCUUCUAAUAAAUACUCCCUAUUAUAGAAAUCUAUAAAAGUGUUCAUAAUUAUAACUCGUGGAAAUUAAUUUGAGCUUUAAGGAAUGAUUGAUAUCUUUUUGUGAAACAAAAAAUCACAAAAAGAAAAUCAUUGAUUUUUUUUUUUUUGGUUGGAAAAUGAUUGAUUCUUUUGUUUUUUUGGGUAGGAAAAUGAUUGAUUAUUUUUGUAGAGGAGAAAAUGACGUACUCUAAAAUUCAGAAAAAAGAAAUGACGUACGCCAAAAAAAGUAUGAAAGUCUCUUCAAGACUAACCACUAAACACCAAACAAGAUAUAAUUUUCUUUUUUUUUUUUGUAUGUGGAGUAGAAAAAUCAUUGAUUUCGUAUAUAGGUAGACUAAUCAACGUUUGUGGAUUCAGAAUUUCAAAUACAAGUGUCCGUGAAUUAAAUCCAAGACCGUGAAUGCAUAAAAAAAACUAGGUCUAUAAAGUGAAAAAAAAUACAAAUAUUAAGGGAGUAACUGAGUCAUCAUAACUAUGAAAAAUAUGAUUGUUUGUUAUACAUAAAAAAAUUAUGACCAUACAUAUAUAUUUUCUUUUUAAAAAUAAUGAACAUAUUGAGGUAAAUAAAUAAACAACAGAUUAAAAUAUUAUAUAUCAUGGUAAGAACCACAACAUAUAUAUAUAAGUUGAAUUAGUAAAUUAAAAAUGUUGGAUGGAAUUUGCUCAUUCACUAGAAAAAUUAUUUUCAUAUUUCGUCUCAAGAAAAACCAAAUUGGAAUUGUAAUUUUUUUGGGUUGACUGACUCAGUCUUCGUCAAAAGUCAACUCAACUUUAUUCCCUUUCCAAAAUUUAUUAUUAUUGAAAACUUGUCUUUUUCAUGUGUGUUCCAGGCUCGUUUCUUCUUCACUUAGUUUCAAUUCAAAGUUGUACUAAAUCACUACUUCGCCAAAAUUAGAACAUCAUUAUCUUCGAGGGUCUCUUCUCUCUUCAUACUACUUCAAGAAAUAAUUAAACCUUUUUUUCCCUUUUAAUCUUUCCUGUCGGGAAGACUUUUAAGUACCAUUUCUUUUCCGGGAAACAAAUUCUCGAAUAAUCACAGAAAAAUACCUUGGUUCACUUUUUUUACUGUAUAGAUCGUCCAUUGAAAUCAAGGUUUUAUUCUUUAAAACUUUGGUCUUUAUUUCACAACUUCUUUGAACUUCAAAUAGUUUAAAAUUUACUCUGUUUCAUCAAAUUACUCUGUUUCGUCAAAUUACUCUGUUUUGUCAGCUUGCUCUUUUCUAAAACGUGGAAGUAAAUAAAAUUUUGACAUAAGUAUAUUUUCUCCCACAGGUUCAAGAAUCUGUGGAAGAAAACAAUCAGCGAUGAUGAAUCCCCAAAGAAACAAAUUCGUAAGGUUUGUAUCAAUUCUUCCUUUUGAUUUAAUAAUUACGAUGUUAUGAAGUGAUCUUGAUCUUGAUUUAUUGAUCCAGGUUUAAUGGAAAUGAUGAUGAGUUUUCGACCAAAACUACUAGACCAUCAGUAUCUUCAGUUAUGAAAACCGUUAGACGAAGCUUCGAAAAGGGGUCAGAGAAAAUCAGAACCUUUAAGCGGCCCUUAAGCGUUCAUUCAAAUAAGAAUAAAGAAAAUAAUAAGAAGAAGAAGAUACUAAGAGUGAUGAAUCCGAACGAUUCAUAUCUUCAAAGCUGGAACAAGAUUUUCUUGCUUCUCUCUGUUGUGGCUUUAGCCUUUGAUCCUCUGUUUUUCUAUAUCCCCUAUGUGAAGCCCGAGCGAUUUUGUCUUAAUCUAGACAAGAAACUCCAGACAAUCGCUUGCGUUUUCCGCACUUUCAUCGACGCUUUCUAUGUGGUUCACAUGCUGUUUCAGUUUCAUACCGGUUUCAUCACUCCUUCUUCUAGUGGUUUCGGCAGAGGAGAGCUUAAUGAGAAACAUAAAGAUAUCGCUUUAAGAUACCUCGGCUCAUACUUUCUAAUCGAUCUUCUUUCGAUUCUCCCUAUUCCUCAGGUAACAAUGUUUUCUCAAAUCUGCUUUGCAAGAUCUUGGUUGCAUAUCUAAUGAAUAUGAAAUACUAUUUUUCUUUGCAAUGACAGGUAGUUGUUCUAGCUAUUGUUCCAAGGAUGAGACGACCCGCGUCGCUAGUAGCAAAAGAGCUACUGAAAUGGGUAAUCUUUUGCCAAUAUGUUCCGAGGAUAGCGAGAAUCUAUCCGCUUUUCAAGGAAGUAACAAGAACUUCUGGUUUGGUAACUGAAACUGCUUGGGCUGGUGCUGCUUUAAACCUAUUCCUCUACAUGUUAGCUAGCCAUGUAAGAAAAGAUUAUUUUAUUUGAUUCUUUGCUCCACUUGAUUAGGUUAUGUUUGGGCAAAGAUAACGGUUUUAACCAUUGCGAAAAAUGGACAGGUUUUUGGGUCUUUUUGGUACUUGAUUUCGAUAGAAAGGAAAGAUAGAUGUUGGCGUGAGGCGUGUGCUAAGAUACAGAAUUGCACUCAUGCAUACUUAUACUGUUCACCAACAGGGGAAGACAAUAGGUUAUUUUUAAACGGUUCUUGUCCGUUGAUCGAUCCCGAAGAAAUCACAAACUCGACGGUUUUCAACUUUGGUAUAUUCGCUGAUGCAUUGCAGUCUGGAGUUGUGGAGUCUAGAGAUUUCCCUAAGAAGUUUUUCUACUGUUUCUGGUGGGGUCUCCGCAAUCUUAGGUUUGUAACAUCUAAAACUCUUACUUAUUACGGUUCGGUUACUUUUUGUUAUCUAAUCGAUGAAAUCUUAUCUUUCUGUGUGUAGUGCUUUGGGCCAAAACUUGAAGACGAGUGCCUUUGAAGGAGAGAUCAUUUUUGCAAUAGUCAUUUGUAUUUCUGGACUAGUCUUGUUUGCUCUCCUCAUUGGAAAUAUGCAGGUAAUCAUUUCUCUUCUCCUUUGAGCUCUUAAAACAAGGAAUAUCCAUAUAUAUAGUCUUAAAGAGUUCUGUGAUUUGUAGAAAUAUUUGCAAUCAACUACUGUAAGAGUUGAGGAAAUGAGAGUGAAAAGGAGAGAUGCAGAGCAAUGGAUGUCUCAUCGGAUGUUGCCAGACGAUCUGAGAAAACGUAUCCGUAAAUACGAACAGUAUAAAUGGCAAGAAACCAAAGGAGUUGAGGAAGAAGCUCUUCUCUCUAGUCUUCCAAAAGAUCUCAGAAAGGACAUUAAACGCCAUCUUUGUCUCAAGUUGCUCAAAAAGGUAACCUUUUAUUUUGUCCCAUCAUAACUUCUUGAAUUCACUGUUUUGUUUUGUUUCAGGUGCCUUGGUUCCAAGCUAUGGAUGAUCGGUUACUAGAUGCUCUAUGUGCUCGUCUCAAAACGGUUCUUUAUACAGAGAAGAGUUACAUUGUGCGUGAAGGUGAACCAGUGGAGGAUAUGUUGUUUAUAAUGAGAGGAAAUUUAAUCAGCACCACUACUUAUGGUGGCAGAACUGGUUUCUUCAAUUCUGUUGACUUAGUUGCUGGUGAUUUCUGUGGAGAUCUUCUCACUUGGGCAUUAGAUCCUCUCAGUUCCCAAUUCCCUAUCUCUAGUAGAACCGUUCAAGCUUUGACAGAAGUCGAAGGCUUUCUUCUCUCAGCUGAUGAUCUCAAGUUUGUCGCUACUCAGUAUCGUCGCCUCCAUAGCAAGCAACUCCGACACAUGUUCAGGUAAUACUUUCAAUUGAAAAAAUGCAUGUUGAGUUAAUUAUAAAAGUUAACAUAUUGGAUAAUGAGGACAUAUCGUAUACCUAUCUCGUUUCUCAAGUUUCCUUCAACAUAAUAACCCUAAAUCUUUUUAUUACCUACCUUGUAUCUUGUUUCUCAAGUUACCUUUAAUAUUAUAACCUAAACAACUUUUUGUCUCCAGGUUUUAUUCAGUGCAAUGGCAGACAUGGGCAGCAUGUUUUAUACAAGCAGCAUGGAAGAGACAUUGUAGAAGGAAGCUCUCAAAGGCUUUACGUGAAGAAGAAGGCAAACUACAUAACACUCUUCAGAACGAUGAUUCAGGAGGCAAUAAACUUAACUUAGGUGCUGCGAUUUAUGCGUCGAGGUUUGCUUCUCAUGCUCUGAGGAAUCUAAGAGCAAAUGCAGCAGCCCGAAAUUCUAGAUUCCCGCACAUGUUAACUUUGUUGCCUCAGAAACCAGCCGAUCCUGAGUUUCCUAUGGAUGAAACCUAGUUGUGUAUAUAGUUGUUGACUCUAUCUCUAUGUAAUGUGAUCGCUAGUAUUUUUUGCAAAUGAUUAUGUAACCAGUAAAGAGCUUUAUGUGAAAUAAUCAAUAGGAAAAAUUCUUAUAGAGUUUAGUUAAAAAAUAAUAAUUAAUGGAGACAUUAAUUUUAGCGAGAAUCUCACCACCACAACCACUGUAAAUGUUUUGCUAUCCAAAAACACUUUCUAAGUCCUAAGCUUUAAAAGCAUCUCUCAUUAAACAAUUUUUCCACAUAGUUAGGAGAGUUUACUAGCUAGAGACGGUAGACUUAUCUCUCUAUUGGUGGUCCAGCUUGGCUUCACUCUCUCGAAUUGACGAGUUUAGUCUUAUUACGACGACUUUCAAUUGGGUCUGUAUUGACUAAAAGAUGGCCAACUAAAAUAAUGAUUUAAGUAUAUAUUUGAAGAUGGUACGAAAUGGGCAUGUUGUGAAAAGAAGACAGGUAGAGAAAUUGGAUUUUGUGAAUAUUAUUGUAAGUUGUAGGGCAAAGAGAGUGAGACUGCAGAGCCCCCACCGUAGACGACUUUACUGUCUCUUCAAGUCCAUUUAGCUUACCACUCUGCAUCCACAUACAUGAGUCUGUGUUAAAGCUGGAGAACAUCGAUUUGCCCACCAUUUCUCACUGCCAAAGCCAUACCCAUAUUUAUUCUCUCUCGGUCUCUCUUCUCGGUCUCUCUUCUCAGUCUCUCACUCCCACAGCCUUUAGUUCGAGAAGACCGAAGGGGACUUCAUUUUCUUGUACGGGAAUUAAAAUAUUGAAGAUUGACAGAUAAAAACAUGAAUCUUCAGAGGAGAAAAUUUGUUAGGUAGCUUCUUGGAAUUUUUAUGAACAAGUUUAACAUAGCUUCAAUCUAGUAUUUUUAUAUUUACUUUUGGCAGUAGUGAUCAUAUCUUGUUGAUACAGGCUUGAUAGUACGGGAGUUGAUGGAAAAUUGAAAAGUGUUAGAGGACGCUUGAAGAAGGUUUACGGGAAGAUGAAAACACUCGAAAACUGGAGGAAGACCGUCUUGUUAGCUUGCGUGGUUGCUUUGGCUAUUGAUCCUUUGUUUCUGUUUAUCCCUUUGAUUGAUUCUCAGAGAUUUUGCUUCACUUUCGACAAGACACUUGUAGCAGUAGUUUGUGUCAUUCGUACUUUUAUUGACACGUUCUAUGUGAUUCACAUCAUUUAUUAUCUUAUAACCGAGACCAUUGCUCCUCGUUCUCAAGCAUCUUUGAGAGGCGAGAUUGUCGUGCAUUCUAAGGCUACACUGAAAACACGUCUCCUCUUUCACUUCAUUGUUGACAUUAUCUCUGUUCUCCCCAUUCCUCAGGUAUUGUUCCCUUCGUUUGUGUGUGCAUGACAUCUACUUUUCCAUGCUUUUUAUUAGAGAUGUACAUGCGUAAUUAUAGGUGGUGGUUCUCACUCUCAUACCACUGUCUGCGUCGCUGGUGUCAGAGAGAAUACUGAAAUGGAUUAUACUUAGUCAAUAUGUACCAAGAAUCAUUCGUAUGUAUCCGCUUUAUAAAGAAGUGACAAGAGCCUUUGGUACGGUAGCAGAAUCAAAGCGGGUCGGAGCUGCUUUAAACUUCUUCCUUUACAUGCUGCACAGUUAUGUAAGUCUUUGCUCUUGAUCCCACUUCCCACCCACUGUUGGUGUUGUUGUUGUUGCAACUGUGCAUGAUGGAUGGCUACUAUAUGUAUAUAGGUGUGUGGGGCUUUUUGGUAUUUGAGUUCAAUAGAAAGGAAAAGCACAUGUUGGCGUGCCGCGUGUGCUAGGACAUCCGACUGCAAUCUCACGGUCACGGAUCUGCUUUGUAAACGAGCUGGUAGUGACAACAUUCGUUUUCUCAACACCUCAUGCCCAUUAAUCGACCCUGCCCAAAUCACAAACUCCACAGACUUCGACUUUGGUAUGUAUAUUGAUGCGUUGAAGUCAGGGGUCCUAGAGGUGAAACCAAAGGAUUUUCCCAGGAAAUUCGUCUAUUGCUUUUGGUGGGGUCUCCGUAAUAUUAGGUACUAAAUUGUAUUAUGCUAAACUCUCUGCCGUGAGACAUAUAUCAAUCCACUUGAUAGAUUAAUCCGCUCUACAGUGCUUUGGGCCAAAACCUGGAGACAAGCAACUCUGCAGGGGAGAUUUUCUUUGCUAUCAUCAUAUGUGUCUCUGGUUUACUCUUGUUUGCUGUGCUCAUUGGAAACGUUCAGGUAAUGUUCAUACCUUAGAACUAGAGUUUGAUCUCAUAAAGCUGAUUCUUAAUAGAUGUUUGUUUUUGGUGAUCGCAGAAGUACUUGCAAUCAUCUACGACUAGAGUAGAUGAAAUGGAAGAGAAAAAGAGAGACACAGAAAAAUGGAUGUCCUAUCGGGAGAUACCAGAGUAUUUGAAGGAACGCAUUAGGAGAUUUGAAGAUUACAAAUGGAGAAGAACCAAAGGCACCGAAGAGGAAGCUCUUCUUCGUAGUCUUCCAAAAGACCUCAGACUCGAAACCAAACGCUAUCUUUUUCUCAAGUUGCUCAAAAAGGUAACCUUUUAUUUUGUCCCAUCAUAACUUAACCAACUCCUCUUGAAUUCACUGUUUUGUUUUGUUUCAGGUGCCUUUGCUCCAAGCUAUGGAUGAUCAGUUACUAGAUGCUCUAUGUGCUCGUCUCAAAACGGUUCAUUAUACAGAGAAGAGUUACAUUGUGCGUGAAGGUGAACCAGUGGAGGAUAUGUUGUUUAUAAUGAGAGGAAAUUUAAUCAGCACCACUACUUAUGGUGGCAGAACUGGUUUCUUCAAUUCUGUUGACUUAAUUGCUGGUGAUUCCUGUGGAGAUCUUCUCACUUGGGCAUUAUAUUCUCUUAGUUCCCAGUUCCCUAUCUCUAGUAGAACCGUUCAAGCGUUGACAGAAGUCGAAGGCUUUGUUAUCUCAGCUGAUGAUCUCAAGUUUGUCGCUACUCAGUAUCGUCGCCUCCAUAGCAAGCAACUCCAACACAUGUUCAGGUAAUAUUUUCAAUUGAAAAAAUGCAUGUUGAGUUAAUCAUAUUGGAUAAUGAUGACAUAUCGUAUACCUAUCUCGUUUCUCAAGUUACCUUCAACAUAAUAACCCAAAAUCUUUUUAUCACCUACCUUGUAUCUUGUUUCUCAAGUUACCUUUAAUAUUAUAAUCUAAACAACUUUUUGUCUCCAGGUUUUAUUCAUUGCAAUGGCAGACAUGGGCAGCAUGUUUUAUACAAGCAGCAUGGAAGAGACAUUGUAGAAGGAAGCUCUCAAAGGCUUUACGUGAAGAAGAAGGCAAACUACAUAACACUCUUCAGAACGAUGAUUCAGGAGGCAAUAAACUUAACUUAGGUGCUGCGAUUUAUGCGUAGAGGUUUGCUUCUCAUGCUCUGAGGAAUCUAAGAGCAAAUGCAGCAGCCCGAAAUUCUAGAUUCCCACACAUGUUAAUUUUGUUGCCUCAGAAACCAGCCGAUCCUUAGUUUCCUAUGGAUGAAACCUAGUUUUGUAUAGUUGUUGACUCUAUCUCUCUGUAAUGUGAUCGCUAGUGAUUUCUUGCAAAUAACUUUUGUGUAAACCAGUAAAGAUAUUUUUAUGUGAAAUAAUAAUCAAUAGGAAAAUUUCUUAUAGAGUUUAGUAAAAAAACAAUUUUAAUGGAGACGUUUUAGCGAAUACUCACCACCUCAACCACUGUAAAUGUUUUGUUAUCCAAAAACUUCUAAUUCCUAAGCUUUUAACUUUUAAAGCAUCUCUCGUUAAACAAUUUGUAUUUUUUUGCAAAACAAAAAUAAAACGCUGUAUUUUUAAAUUAGAAUCCUUAAGGUUGGGUAUUUUUAAGUGAAUCAAAAAUUCCAACCAAAGUAAUGGAACUAAAUAACUGUUUUUUAUUAGAAAACUGAAUACGUACAUAUACCAAAGUACAUAAUAAAACUAGUUCUAUUAUUGAUAUAUAUAAAUUAAACACAGAUUUAGAUUAUAUUUAAACACAUAGCUAAGAUUGUUUACUAGAGAGACUUAAUUAGGUCUCUCUAUUGGUGGUCUAGCUUGGCUUCACUCUCGAAUUGAAGAGGAACAACGUGUUUGUUUAGUCUUUUUAGGACUUACAAUUACGUCUCUGUUGUUUAGUAACGAUGGCAAAUAAAAAUAAUGAUUUAGUAUAUUUGAACAUGGUCCCAAAUGGGCAAGUUGUAAAAAGAAGACAAGUAGAGAAAAUUCAAAAUUGGAUUUCGUGGAUAUUAUUGUAAGUUGCAGGGAAAAAAGAGUGAGACUGCCCCACCGUAGACUAAAAUGAUUUAGCUUACCACUCUCACUCUGCAUCCACAGUUUAAUAAUUACCCCUUUAAUAUUUUAAUCAUUAUUUUAGUAGACCAAAACUGUUUAGUGUUGAAACUUGUGCAUCCACAUGAGUGUUGGUUAAAGGUUGAGAACAUCGAUUUGCCAACCAUAUCUCACAGCCACAGCCAUUUUUAUUCUCUCUCGGUCUCUCUUCUCAGUCUCUCACUACCACAGCCUUAAGUUCGAGAAGACCGAAGUGGACUUCAUUUUCUUGUACGGGAAUUAAAAUAUUGCAGAUUGACGACAUAUACUAACAUGAAUCAUCGGAGGAGUAAAUUUGCCAGGUACUUCUUCGAAGUUUUGAUUAACUACUAUUUCAUAUUUGGUUGUGAUAGUGAUCAUUGUUGAUACAGGAUAGAUAGUAUGGGAGUUGAUGGAAAAUUGAAAAGUGUUAGAGGACGCUUGAAGAAGGUUUACGGGAAGAUGAAAACACUCGAAAACUGGAGGAAGACCGUCUUGUUAGCUUGCGUGGUUGCUUUGGCUAUUGAUCCUUUGUUUCUGUUUAUCCCUUUGAUUGAUUCUCAGAGAUUUUGCUUCACUUUCGACAAGACACUUGUAGCAGUAGUUUGUGUCAUUCGUACUUUUAUUGACACGUUCUAUGUGAUUCACAUCAUUUAUUAUCUUAUAACCGAGACCAUUGCUCCUCGUUCUCAAGCAUCUUUGAGAGGCGAGAUUGUCGUGCAUUCUAAGGCUACACUGAAAACACGUCUCCUCUUUCACUUCAUUGUUGACAUUAUCUCUGUUCUCCCCAUUCCUCAGGUAUUGUUCCCUUCGUUUGUGUGUGCAUGACAUCUACUUUUCCAUGCUUUUUAUUAGAGAUGUACAUGCGUAAUUAUAGGUGGUGGUUCUCACUCUCAUACCACUGUCUGCGUCGCUGGUGUCAGAGAGAAUACUGAAAUGGAUUAUACUUAGUCAAUAUGUACCAAGAAUCAUUCGUAUGUAUCCGCUUUAUAAAGAAGUGACAAGAGCCUUUGGUACGGUAGCAGAAUCAAAGUGGGCUGGAGCUGCUUUAAACUUAUUCCUUUACAUGCUGCACAGUUAUGUAAGUCUUUGCUCUUGAUCCCACUUCCCACCCACUGUUGUUGUUGUUGAUGGAUGGCUACUAUGUAUAUAGGUGUUUGGGGCUUUUUGGUACUUGAGUUCAAUAGAAAGGAAAAGCAAAUGUUGGCGUGCCGCGUGUGCUAGGACAUCCGACUGCAAUCUCACGGUCACGGAUCUGCUUUGUAAACGAGCUGGCAGUGACAACAUUCGAUUCCUCAACACUUCAUGCCCAUUAAUCGACCCUGCCCAAAUCACAAACUCCACAGACUUCGACUUUGGUAUGUAUAUUGAUGCAUUGAAGUCAGGGGUGCUAGAGGUGAAACCAAAGGAUUUUCCCAGGAAAUUCGUCUAUUGCUUUUGGUGGGGUCUCCGUAAUAUUAGGUAAUAAAUUGUAUUAUGCUAAACUCUCUGCCGUGAGAUCUGACGACUGACCCAUAGUAAGACAUAUAUCAAUCCAUUUGUUAGAUUAAUCCACUCUACAGUGCUUUGGGCCAAAACCUGGAGACAAGCAACUCUGCAGGGGAGAUUUUCUUUGCUAUCAUCAUAUGUGUCUCUGGUUUACUCUUGUUUGCUGUGCUCAUUGGAAACGUUCAGGUAAUGUUCAUACCUUAGAACUAGAGUUUGAUCUCAUAAAGCUGAUUCUUAAUAGAUGUUUGUUUUUGGUGAUCACAGAAGUACUUGCAAUCAUCUACUACUAGAGUAGAUGAAAUGGAGGAGAAAAGGAGAGACACAGAAAAAUGGAUGUCCUACCGGGUGAUACCAGAGUAUUUGAAGGAACGCAUUAGGAGAUUUGAAGAUUACAAAUGGCGAGAAACCAAGGGAACCGAAGAGGAAGCUCUUCUUCGUAGUCUUCCAAAAGACCUCAGACUCGAAACCAAACGCUAUCUUUACUUGGAUAUGUUAAAGCGUGUAAGCUAGCUCCCUUUUCGUCAUUUAUCCGUGUAUCGCAAGAA
rnacentral:lncRNA from 1 species